GGGGGAUUAGCUCAGUUGGUUAGAGCACUUGCUUCACACGCAAGGGGUCAGUGGUUCGAGUCCACUAUCUCCCACCA
rnacentral:tRNA from 1 species